rnacentral:lncRNA from 1 species
AAUGGCCAAGCUUCCACAACAAAUGAAGGAAAUUCAAAGGUCUCAAGUUCGACAUCAAGUAGCAUGUUGCGAAUUAUGUCAAGGAGAUCAUCAAACCGGUUUUUGCCCUCCAAUAGAAGAAGUGAGUUAUGUGAACAAUCAAAAUCAAGGCUAUCAAAGACAACCUCCACCCAACAACAACUCAUAUCAAAGGAACAAUCAAGGUUAUCAACCAUCAAGGUUCAACAACCAGAAUUUUCA